CUUUUAUUAAUAUAUAUCGAAAUACCUACAUUUGCCAUUACCAUCCAUAAUAAAGUAAUAGGCAUUUCCACGUUUUAUGCCCUUUGCAAAGAUGGACAUUCGGGCAUCUGUCUAAUGAACUCUUAGGAUAUGAUUUAAUGUGCGACCACUUGCCGAGCAACCGGAAGUGACGUAUAGUGCCAUUACAAAACGAACCAGGGCCAUUUGCAUAUCAGAC